ensembl:lncRNA
GCCACUGUGGCUGUCAGAGCCCUGCUGUCCCUCCUGGCUGGGAUGUUUUCGAUACCUAGGAACUUACCUGCAGUUGACCAGGUUGGAGCUGUUGGUCCUGAGAGGCACUUGAGUCAAGUACCCUCCAUUCAGCAGUACCUUACUGUGGGGAUUUGCAGUUCUUCCCUCUGAAAGUUCACAUGGGACACCACAAAGUGAUGAGGUGCUGAUUCUGGGUCAAAGACACAAAAAAGCCUUCUGUGCUGUGGGAUACAGCAGCACAGUUAUCAUCUCAAGCUGCCUACCUGUGCCACAUCCCAGCUAAUGAACCUCUGGGCUCCAUCUUCCACCUUUGUGAAAUGGGACUGAACUCAAGUGCUGCUGCCAGGAUGCAGUGAGUUAAGUAUUUUGUUCCAUUUGGAUGCUGGUAGUCAAAUGCUAUGGGAGAGUACAGGGUGCAGGAAGAAGGGUGUAGUGUCAAUGGCGUACACACCUCUCUGGUCCCUGUCUACUGAGUGUGCUCAUCUCGAAAGGUUGUAAGAAGCAACUGUGCAAAGGAGAGGAGGAAGAGGGGAAGGAAAAGCCCCCAGGUGCUGAUGGGAGCCUUAAAAACCUAGCUGUACACCAAAGUGAAGGAAAUAAGAGGCUCCAAAGCCACUGUGUCCAUCGUAUGGCUGAGGGACCAGUAAGUCUCAUGUUUGAGAGCAUUUGAAUUUAGCAUAGAGAAACAAGAUAUUUGAGAGGGUGUGGCUAGAGAGUGAGAUUAUUGCCACAUUGUAAACACGAAAUUAAAAAUCGAGUUUUUAGAACAUAGGCGAUCUUGAAUCAUAGUAAGGCAUUGAAACAAAUAAAAUAUCGGUUUUUUUCCAGAAUGGAAAAAUAUAAACAUAAUUUCCUUUCUAUGAUACAAAAAUGAAGGUUUUUGUUUUUUUUUCCUCAAUUGAACCAAGUGGAAGUGUGUAAAGUAGAAUGAGACCUAGCGGAUUUGCUGCCUUACCUUACCUCUACCCCUACCUCUGAACCUACCAUGUGUUCCCAUGCCCAUAGCAUCUUUUAAAAUGCACUUUCUAGUAAACUUUUCCAAAUCAAAAAUCCUUUGUUAUGAACCGCAUGACCUCUUCCUUCCCCCAGUGUAUCUGACCUGUCGAUUUAGAUUUUAUUAAAUUAGGUUAUCUGGAAAAGGUACGCCUAAAACCUGGUGCCCUUCCAGAACACAUGAAUGUUCUCUUUUCCUCCUGUUCUGCUCUCAUGGCUUUAGCAGCCUGCCUGGAAAUUGUAGCACCCUUUUUGAAGUUGAAAGCUCACCAUUGCAUCUUUUUAGCACUACUUUUAAGGAAAAUGCAAAAAACUGCAUGAUGGUCUAAUUUUUAUUUCUGUUUUUGUCUUCUUUGAGCAAGGCUCUGUUUUGGUUUGGUUUGGGGUGAGUGCCAGUGUGAAAUCUCACAAAUAGUAUUUUCUUUUGAAAUAGGUUGUUUGAAGAGAGCCUUCAAAUUUCUUCCUGGGGCUUUUUUGGUCAAUUUUUUUUUCAGCCACACAGUCGGUGGGUUUGUAGGCUCUGAGGUAAUAAUGUGUUUGCCCAGUUGGGAGAAGUCCAAACCUCUGUUGGAUUUUUGUUUCCCUGAGAUUGACCCGUAUAAAGUUAGGGUUUGUUCUACGUUUUUGAUAAAGUAUCUUUGGAAAUUAUGGGAUAGAGGUUACACAAACUCUUCACAAAGUGUACCUCAGCUUUUCUUCUCUUUCUCCCUGAAAUGAAAAAUGAUACUGUAUUUCCUCCAAGCUUUAUGUAGAAGCAUGUGUCUGCCCAGCUUCUUUGCAUUUUAAUGCCGACUGAUUUGGGCUGUUGAUCUUUGCAG